GGAAGGAAGGAAGGAAGGAAAGAGGAACAUUGUACAGAACACCUUUAUAUUUAUAUUUAAGAAAUAAUAAUAAUAAUAAUAAUAAUUGAACUGCUGAUGGCGAAGAAAGCAAAACACACUGUCUUUCUCUGAUGGCUUACAGUGACAAGCUACUGGAUUUUCUACAUCAAUGCAAAAUACGUAUAAACAUUAGAAAAAGGAGAAAGAAAAAAAAGAGAAUGAAAUAAUAAUCUUGUAGGAAAAAUUGCAUUUGAGAAAUAUUCACCUAGCUUGUGUGUGGUUGCCCCCUCCCCACAGAUAACAGUCUGGAAAUGAUACGACUACAUUUCAGUUCAAACGACAGUAAAAACAGAAAGAAAAGAGAGUAAAUAAGGACCGUAUUAAAUACCUAUAUGGACUGGAAAUGAAUCCAAUUACAAAUAUAAAACCUUUGUAAUUCUAUAUAGAGUUUAAACAAAGUCAUGUAUAUUUAAUUUAUUUUGUUAAACAAGAAAAAAUGUAUGAUAUUUUCCUCAAAACAGGCAUUUCUAUACAUAUUUUUGAUCAAAGAAAAUAAAGAUUUUUUUUUCAGGUUCUAUAGAUGCCAUGCUCAGAAAACACUCAAUGUAGCAUGUAACCAACCAUAUGUCUCCUAACUUGGAGGUCAUCUAUCUGUAUGCUUACUCACACCAACCACAUGUACUCUCCUAGCAUCAUCUCAGGUACUGCCAGUGCCAUCAUUUCCAUUAGAAAUUGGAAUUUUCCAUCAUUUAAAUGCUGAUUGUGAGGGUGUGCAGUGGCGAGAUCACUUCCCAUGGACCCCUUGUCAUCUCCAGUAGCAAAGAUCUCUGCUCACAGGGAAAUCUGUUUCACUAUGCUUAAAAAAAAUAAUAAAUCUUUUUUUUUUUUUUUUUUUUUUUUCAGGGCAGGGUGUGCUGGGGGAGUGGGGAAGAGGUUACAUUUGUUUUUUUUUAAUCACAAACCUGCAGGGGUUUUUCUUUUCAAAAGAAAAUUUUGUAAAUCAAACAUCGUAAUUUGUGAGCCUGUAAAAUGAGCUUCAGCCUCAGGUGCCUGGGAGGGGAAAACAUGCCACGGGGUGAAGCCCUUCAUUUGUAAACACUGCUGUUAGGCUAGAGGAACCGGCAAGGGUGAGCUGGGUGCAGCAAGAGGAGUGCGCAGGCAGCUGCUCCCCUCAAGAAGGAAGGUGCAAACCUUUCUGCUGCAAGUAGAGAGAGGCAUCUAACCCUGUAGUGGCCACAGUUUCUUUAGACAAGGCAGGUUCAGUAAUGCAGCAACUGUUUGCUGUUCUGUUGUGUUUCAUGGGGAAGAAAAAAAAAUGAGACACCAAUUUUUAAGUUUGAAAUUACUUCCUUUGAGAAGGAAGUAAUUUCUGUUCUGCAAAAGAGAAAUCUUCAGCAAACCAGCUGCUCCAAUUUAAAGUGAAACACUUCAUUUAACCUGAAACAAAACAGUGCUUUAGGCUUUUCUUUUUCUCUGAAUGUUUCCAAAAUUAUUUGCUCUGGGUUGACCUGCAGUGAUUCUUCUACCGGUUUGUUUGGAUCAUCAGCAAACCAAACAGCUCCCUGUUUGCUCAGCCGUAGCACUGUGAGAUGGGCCCUCAUUCAGCAAAGCACAUACGCUCCCGUUUUCCUUCACCAACACAUGCUGCUCCAAAAAAAUCCCCUUUUUGCCUUAGCCACCCAGGUCGGUGGCCCUGUCCCUGCCCACUGAUAGCAAGAUGGUCUUUCUGUAGAGUAUAACUACACAACCUAUAUAUAUAUAUAUAUAUAUAAAUUGGAAGCAGGAUGGUUCAGUUAAACUUUGUUAACACAAAUUUUUGAAGCCUCUAAAAGUUAAGUUCAGAUCCCGGGUAUCUCUGCAUACAUCCCCACAGCUUCAGGGAGAAUUAAGUAUGAGCACUGAGGGCUCUGCUUGGAUGUAAGUCAUGACGUAGGCAGCAUUCCUAAUGGCUACAUUUUAUUGAGUCAUUUCAUGGAAAAAGCCAAAAAGCCUUUAUACACUAAUUGUGUCACCUUAUUUUAAGAAGGCAGCACGUGGCUGUUUCCAUGAGAGAUUAAGGGCUACGUCUCAUAACUCACACCUAUGGGAAGCUACUUCUUGCACUGUGGUUGGCACCAAGCUACUGCACAUCUCAGCAGUGUUAGGAGCCUGGCAGAUAACAGGAUUCACCUGGAAGCCCAUGGUCUUUUCUCAGCUAUCAGUGUCAGUGCUACAGCCAGGGGACACAUGGUUCAUGCAGUACUGAUACCAGCUUCAAAGGAGGAGGUGCAUAAUCGGUUUUAUAUGGUUCAGCUCUAUGCAAACCCUAAGAGAUGGUCUUAUGACCCUUUUUUCAAAUGGCAGCUAUAUCACUGACCCUCAGAGAGAGUGAGUGGGCUAGAAGAAACAAUCCUGCACAUCCCACAUGGCACAGUCUUCCACACUGAGCAUUAGGCUCUCUGCUGGUGCCUUCUGCCCCUGUAAUCCUGGCACUACGUAGUGUUGUAUCAUGAACACUUCACAUACUGCCAGAUGGCUCAGGUGGAAGAAGUGGCUUCCUCCUGCCCGUAAAAGCUCCAGCCUUUUAACACAAACCUCUAGUGAUGUUAACAGAGAGGGAACUCAUCAGUAAGCCCACCAGCAUGGACAAUGCAAUUGCAGUCUGAGCACAGCUGCAGCAAAGCCACUGCACUCAGAAGGCAGCUCUGGGGUGAGAUGCUACAGAGGUCUCGAUUUGCACAUGUAUUGUAUAUAUUGUCUGGGUCUUGCAUUGGCUUGCUGGGCCUGGGUGGGUUUUGUGUUUCAAGGAAUUAUUUUGCCUCUACGGAACACCCGUAAGUGCUCUUACAAGUUACUCUGUCCCAUGCCUACUGCAUGCCAUUUCUUUUUAGGGCUUGAUUGUGCCUUGCAUGUAUUGCAAAGUCUUCCUUAGCCUAAAUAAAUUCUGCCAGGUCCUGCUCAUGUCUGAAUUUGUUUUUCACCAGUGGGACAAGAUUUGGACUAAUCUUUGCUUAUGAAUACAGGGCAUUUACAGGAAACCAGUCUUGCUAUUAACUACUGAUCCUAAUUUGAACACAGUUUUUUCUUUAUGCAUACAUACAUGUAUACACAUAGGCAUAUAGAUGUGCAUGCCAGGCUGUGAUACAGAAGGCAGUUGUACUUUUAAAGCCACGGGGCUUCAAAGAUCAAAGGAAUUUUAGGCUUAAAGCUCUCCAUCUCUGUUUACUUUAUUUGCAUUACAGAUCAAACAUGGCCUUACAUGUCGGUUUGUGUGUGGCAUUUUUAAACUGUGUGGACAAUCCCUGUACUGUUAGCCCUUUUAAACUGAAAACCUUUAUCAGACAUUUACAAAUAAAAAGUGACAUGUGAUUUUUCAAACAGUGGCAAAUACAGUAACUGAGGACGUCAAAGAGAGACGGGAUGGCACAUCAUUCGUACGGCCGUGCUGUGUAAUAAAAGCUAGAAAAAAGUAUGCUCCUAGGUGAUAGCAUUGUAUAAAUUUAACAUUUCUUUGACGGAAGGGGUGGUGGUGUGGUGGUGUGUCUGUGUGUGAGUGUGUGUACAUGCGUGUGUGUAUAUAGGAGGAAUAUAUGCUGGCUUGAUGAAGCACACAAUACUGCCAAACUAUUUUUGCACCAUGAUUUGAUGAUUUGUGUAGGUGCUGUGAAUCCAGAGCAGACUUUUUAGAGUGGUUUGGAAAAGUUUUCAAAUUUUUUUAGUGAAUAAAGACUACUUUUGGUCACUUCACCUCCAUAGCCAAAUGCCAUAGCUGCAACGAGAACCAAACUACAAUUAGGAAGAUGAAAAUUUGGGGUUGCUGGACUUGAUGGCAGAAAUGCAGUGUCCAGGGCAGAGCAGGGAUUUCAGGAUGAAGCCCAGUGCUUCCAGCCCUUUGGGGUGAAUGUGUGGGUGUCUCACUACUCUCUCGGAGGCAGCAUAUGUCCAAGCUGUAACACUUUCAAGUUCAGCUGGCCCUCAACCAAACUUCAUCUUGGCCUGACCUGGACCUUGGACCCAAACCACCCCGUGAGGAAAUGGUACACAUGUGGUGGGAAAGAGGAAAUAUUUCUCUGUCAGCUCCACUUCUGUGACUGUCUGAAACUCUUCAGAGGUUUGAAAUAAUGGAAUAAAGCCCCUGGGAGAUGUAGCAGUGGAUAUAAACUGGAAGAUGGUCAAAGACUGAUGAAGAAUUUUUCAUGGCUUUGGUAUCUAGGCAUCACCUCUGCCAGCAUGGUGUACAUUGUGUCCCCAGGCCUCCAAAUGCCCCAAGGUCAGUGAUUAUUCCACAUAGAACAUCCAUUCCAGCUCUUGCAGAUGCCAGUAAAAAAAAAAAAUAAUAAUAAAAACACCACAGCAUCCAUUGGGAAAUCAAUUAGAGGCAUGGAGACAUUGUAAAACUUACAUCAUUGUUCUGGCGGGCCUAUUGGCAGAGAAAGACGUGACAGGAGUUAAUGGCCAGAGCAAGAAGCCAGGCACGUUUAAAUGGGAAAUGCACACACUUUGGAAGGAGCUAUCAAGGGAAGGGAUAGGGGCUGCAUCUCUCAAAAGAACCAAAUCAAGUCUGGGUGCUUUGUGGGUGCCUCUGUCAGGUGCAAGGUAUUAAGAACAUUGUUAGGCCUAAGGGAUAGAUCUAGACCAGGUGGGCUCAUCCAGUGGUCCCUUCUGGCCCUGAAGACACGUAGCUGGGCUGAAGCAAGGAGAUGGAAGCGUGGGUCCCUGCUCCAGGCCGGGCAGGGACUGAUGAGCAUGGUAACCACAUGUGUGCAGUGCAGGCCUGACAGCACCGCCUGGCACGUGGGCCUGGGCUGCACACCCAGCUCUGCUGCUUGCAGCUCCGCUUGCUUCUGGGCUCUAUGUGUGCCGUCUCAGCAUUUUCUGGCUUAUUACUGAAGUAAUGGCAUUAUUUAUAUAAAACGGAGUUGUGCGUCGACAUUUACUGUGUCUGCAAAUAACCCCUUGUGUAAACAGAGGCAGAGCCCUGUGUGUACAUACAUCCCACUCCUCCACGCUAUCAGUGUUCUGGAAAAUCUUUCUGGAUUUGCUGCAGUUAGUGUCAUGAAGGAUUUACAUGUGCAUGUGAAUGUAAACACAUGUAGUUAAUGGCCUGCUGACUUGCUUAAACUUGUUGGUGGAGUGUCUUCAAUCCCUUAUAUGCCGUGCAUGUGAGGGGGCAGGAUCCUGCUCUGCUCUCGCCCUGGUGUGGAGGCAGUGCUGUCCUGGCACGCAUUUAGGUAUGUAUGGGCUCACGCCUUGGGUUGUGGGGUUUGGCCAAAGUGAACCCUGCAGGUCCCCUGUGCACACCCAGUCCCAAUGUGUGCUGGACCACAGAAAGGGCACCCAUGUAAAUGAGGCAGGAAGGUACUGGCCUGAUAACAGCCAGGGUCUGCCAACCAAAUGUGCUGGGAUGUACCCAGGCCGCUGGCCAGGUUGGUUCUGCACUGGGGAUCUGGGAGAAAUGCCACUAAUUAGGAAUCGGUAGGUAUUUCUGACUUUCUAUUUACCCUGUCAUACCAGAAAAGUGUUUCUUGGGCUAAGAUUUGUAGGUUACAAAAGUUUAUUAAAAAUGC